CGCAACCACCUCUUCUCAUAUGCAGAACAUAUUAUGCCAGAGAAUUGGAUUUUUCAACAUGACAAUAACCCGAAGCUCACCUCAAACAUUGUCAAAGAGUAUCUUGCAUCAAAAGAGUGUUAAGAGGUUUUGAAGUUGCCCUCUGUUCCCAGAUCUAAACCCUAUUGAACACUUGUGGAAUGUACUUGGCUGACGAAUAAGGACAAGAACGUAUUCAAAUCAGAUGGAAUUAUUCAAGAAUUUAAAAGAAUGGAAAAGAAUUCUCCUGGACUGCAUUUGUAAAUUGACUCAAUCUGUAAAUGCUUAAUCAAUCUUUUUGUUGCUAUUACAGCUUGACACUCCAAGCUGUAAUAGCAGCAAAAAGGUAUGGCUCCAGAAUAUGUGUUUUGCGUAAAGUUUGCCUAAAAUACCUCAUUGCUUUGCUCUUUCUCUCUCUGGCCAGAAAUUUUUGCACGCCACUGUGUAUAUCAGCACCGGAUCUAGAUAUUUUGUCACUUGAGGCAGCAUUAGAAAAUGACGCCAUCUCUCCUCUUCACUCGCGCAUAAACAUACUUAAUACUUUAGAACCAGGAAUGUAAUGACACAUCACUGAGAAACGUGCAAAAAACUUUUUUCAAAGCAACAAAUAGUUAACAAAAUACCACCAAAAAUACAUUUAUAAUAAAUAUGAACUAUAGUUUAUUUUUUCUUGCCAAACUCAUUAAUAAUUAUUUAUCAAUUUAAUUGGCAUUGGUUUCUCUCUCUCUCCAU
rnacentral:lncRNA from 1 species